GUGCCAGCAGCCGCGGUAAUACGUAGGGGGCGAGCGUUGUCCGGAUUUAUUGGGCGUAAAGAGCUCGUAGGCGGUUCAACAAGUCGGUAGUAAAAGUUCAGGGCUCAACCCUGAAAUGUCUGUCGAUACUGUUGUGACUAGGAUACGGCAGAGGUGAGUGGAAUUCCGAGUGUAGCGGUGAAAUGCGUAGAUAUUCGGAGGAACACCAAUUGCGAAGGCAGCUCACUGGGCCGCUAUCGACGCUGAGGAGCGAAAGCUAAGGGGAGCAAACAGGAUUAGAUA
rnacentral:rRNA from 1 species